rnacentral:rRNA from 1 species
CCUACGGGAGACAGCAGUGAGGAAUAUUGGUCAAUGGACGGAAGUCUGAACCAGCCAUGCCGCGUGCAGGAAGACGGCUCUAUGAGUUGUAAACUGCUUUUGUACAAGGGUAAACCUGAAUACGUGUAUUCCGCUGAGAGUACUGUACGAAUAAGCCUCGGCUAACUACGUGCCAGCAGCCGCGGUAAUACGUAGGAGGCAAGCGUUAUCCGGACUGACUGGGCGUAAAGGGUGCGUAGGUGGUUUGACAAGUUGGUAGCGUAACUCCGGGGCUCAACCUCGGCACUACUACCAAAACUGUCGGACUUGAGUGCAGGAGGGGCAAAUGGAAUUCCUAGUGUAGCGGUGGAAUGCGUAGAUAUUAGGAGGAACACCAGUGGCGAAGGCGAUUUGCUGGACUGUAACUGACACUGAGGCACGAAAGCGUGGGUAGCAAACAGGAUUAGAUACCCCUGUAGUC